CACGGGCCAAGAAAAUAAUGACUCCUUCAAGGUAAUGCGAAGUUCAGACCACGAGCUCGAGCCUACGGCCAUGGAUGAUAAGAAAAGCAAAUCAACGUGGCAAUGACUGGGCACCUCCGAACGACACCGACGUCGAACAAGUCAAGAGACAAAAGAAGUUCGACGGACGACGAUUUAAUGCAAUGCGUGGACGAGGUAACACAAAAUCUCCUUUUCAUUUUAUUCACAAAAUAUACACUACAAAGCCCAGCAGGCUAAAGGAAGAAAAGCAAAACAACAAGAACAAGACAAAACAAUAAAAGAAAAAAUAUAUAUAUGGGA
rnacentral:lncRNA from 1 species